rnacentral:rRNA from 1 species
CUGAACCUUCGGGGAACGAUAACGGCGUCGAGCGGCGGACGGGUGAGUAAUGCCUAGGAAAUUGCCCUGAUGUGGGGGAUAACCAUUGGAAACGAUGGCUAAUACCGCAUGAUGCCUACGGGCCAAAGAGGGGGACCUUCGGGCCUCUCGCGUCAGGAUAUGCCUAGGUGGGAUUAGCUAGUUGGUGAGGUAAGGGCUCACCAAGGCGACGAUCCCUAGCUGGUCUGAGAGGAUGAUCAGCCACACUGGAACUGAGACACGGUCCAGACUCCUACGGGAGGCAGCAGUGGGGAAUAUUGCACAAUGGGCGCAAGCCUGAUGCAGCCAUGCCGCGUGUGUGAAGAAGGCCUUCGGGUUGUAAAGCACUUUCAGUCGUGAGGAAGGUGGUGUAGUUAAUAGCUGCAUUAUUUGACGUUAGCGACAGAAGAAGCACCGGCUAACUCCGUGCCAGCAGCCGCGGUAAUACGGAGGGUGCGAGCGUUAAUCGGAAUUACUGGGCGUAAAGCGCAUGCAGGUGGUUUGUUAAGUCAGAUGUGAAAGCCCGGGGCUCAACCUCGGAAUAGCAUUUGAAACUGGCAGACUAGAGUACUGUAGAGGGGGGUAGAAUUUCAGGUGUAGCGGUGAAAUGCGUAGAGAUCUGAAGGAAUACCGGUGGCGAAGGCGGCCCCCUGGACAGAUACUGACACUCAGAUGCGAAAGCGUGGGGAGCAAACAGGAUUAGAUACCCUGGUAGUCCACGCCGUAAACGAUGUCUACUUGGAGGUUGUGGCCUUGAGCCGUGGCUUUCGGAGCUAACGCGUUAAGUAGACCGCCUGGGGAGUACGGUCGCAAGAUUAAAACUCAAAUGAAUUGACGGGGGCCCGCACAAGCGGUGGAGCAUGUGGUUUAAUUCGAUGCAACGCGAAGAACCUUACCUACUCUUGACAUCCAGAGAACUUUCCAGAGAUGGAUUGGUGCCUUCGGGAACUCUGAGACAGGUGCUGCAUGGCUGUCGUCAGCUCGUGUUGUGAAAUGUUGGGUUAAGUCCCGCAACGAGCGCAACCCUUAUCCUUGUUUGCCAGCGAGUAAUGUCGGGAACUCCAGGGAGACUGCCGGUGAUAAACCGGAGGAAGGUGGGGACGACGUCAAGUCAUCAUGGCCCUUACGAGUAGGGCUACACACGUGCUACAAUGGCGCAUACAGAGGGCGGCCAACUUGCGAAAGUGAGCGAAUCCCAAAAAGUGCGUCGUAGUCCGGAUUGGAGUCUGCAACUCGACUCCAUGAAGUCGGAAUCGCUAGUAAUCGUGGAUCAGAAUGCCACGGUGAAUACGUUCCCGGGCCUUGUACACACCGCCCGUCACACCAUGGGAGUGGGCUGCAAAAGAAGUAGGUAGUUUAACCUUCGGGGGGACGCUUACCACUUUGUGGUUCAUGACUGGG